AGCUAUACAUGCAGUCGAACGAUACUCUCUGGCUUGCUAGAGAGGAAAGUGGCGCACGGGUGCGUAACGCGUAUGCAACCUACCUUAAUCAGGGGGAUAGCCCGAAGAAAUUCGGAUUAACACCGCAUAAAAACACAGGAUAGCAUUGUCCAAUGUUCAAAUAUUUAUAGGAUUAAGAUGGGCAUGCGUGUCAUUAGCUAGUUGGCGGGGUAACGGCCCACCAAGGCGACGAUGACUAGGGGAUCUGAGAGGAUGACCCCCCACACUGGUACUGAGACACGGACCAGACUCCUACGGGAGGCAGCAGUAAGGAAUAUUGGUCAAUGGAGGCAACUCUGAACCAGCCAUGCCGCGUGCAGGAAGACAGCCCUCUGGGUCGUAAACUGCUUUUAUUCGGGAAUAAACCUCAUUACGUGUAAUGAGCUGAAUGUACCGAAGGAAUAAGGAUCGGCUAACUCCGUGCCAGCAGCCGCGGUAAUACGGAGGAUCCAAGCGUUAUCCGGAUUUAUUGGGUUUAAAGGGUGCGUAGGCGGCUUAUUAAGUCAGGGGUGAAAGACGGUGGCUCAACCAUCGCAGUGCCCUUGAUACUGAUGAGCUUGAAUGGACUAGAGGUAGGCGGAAUGUGACAAGUAGCGGUGAAAUGCAUAGAUAUGUCACAGAACACCGAUUGCGAAGGCAGCUUACUAUGGUCUUAUUGACGCUGAGGCACGAAAGCGUGGGGAUCAAACAGGAUUAGAUACCCUGGUAGUCCACGCCCUAAACGAUGAAUACUCGCUGUUAGCGAUAUACAGUUAGCGGCUAAGCGAAAGCGUUAAGUAUUCCACCUGGGGAGUACGGUCGCAAGAUUGAAACUCAAAGAAAU
rnacentral:rRNA from 1 species